AUGCGCAAAACGCGGUGGCCGGACCUCCCGGCGGAUCUGCUCCGCGAGAUCUCGUCCCGCCUGCGUGCUACGGCCGACUUCGUCUACUUCCACGCCGUCUGCAAGCUAUGGCGCCACUCACACGAGGCAACGAUGACGGCAGCGACGAUCACGACUGAUCACUUUCACUUAUUGCCCUGGCCCCUCUCGCCCUACAAGGACGAUGACUCCCUCGAGUAUAGACGUCUCUUCUCCGAGGCAGGUUACCGCACACCGCCACCAAUAUCCGGCACGGGGAUGAACUGGCUGGCCAGCAAUGACGACACCACCGUCCGCUACUUCACCGUUUCCCCCUCCAUCCGCCCAAGGACCCUCUAUGACCCUCUGUUCGAAGGCGCCCUCUCCCACCUGCCACUUUUCCCUCAAGGGUUCCAGUUGGGGGAGAACCCGAGUGGCAUCGUCUAUAGCGACGGUACCAUCCUUUUGUAUAGCAAGCACAACAUGAUUGACGAAUACGUGUCUGAGUUCAGGGUGGCGCUCUUGUGUCCUGGUGAUGACCAGUGGACGGUCAUCCAGAGGAAUCUAGAGGAAACAUUCCAGGGCGAGUUCUGCAUCGCGUAUUUUUCUGGAAAUAUCCUUGUGGCUGUGAAUGAUAUCCUCUGGUAUGCGCUGAUGAAGUCCACCACAGCAACAAGCAAAGAAGACGUACUGGUCCACAGGCCGUGGUCGUUGCCGGAUGACUUAUAUGACUAUGACUACAAUUAUGUGCUGCAGUCCCGCGGCGAGCUUCUUUGGGUGACGGUGCACAUCACGACGAAUUACCGUGGGAAGCAGCUUUGCCGCGGCCUAGUCCAUGGUGUCUUGAUGUUUAUUCACUCCCUAGAGCAGGUCGAUGAGGAGCGAGAGAGCUUGAGGUGGGUGAGGAAGGAGGGCAAGAGCCUAGCCGAUCGCGUCCUAUUCCUGGGGUGGCCCAACAGUUUUGCUGUGGAGGCAUCGCUGCUUGGUGUCAACGGCGGGUUAGCGUACUUUGUUUUCUCGGACGACAAGGACAGUUACCCGUCGCCUGAACGGCAUGGUUUGUUUAGAUACAACCUAAAAAACAUGACUGCCCAAGGAUGGGACAAUGAGAUGUGCACAUGGCUUAACCCCCAGCUUGCAAUUACUCCAAUCCCCCAUGGUCCAGCUACUACGAGGAGCAAUAGCAUGAUCCACAUCCAGAGAUAUUAUGGUCCUUGUUUUAGGGUGUUGGUGCGCAACCUACCCAUCAGCGCCAAGAGUUCUCAGCUCCUACACUAG
rnacentral:rRNA from 1 species